AGCAUAAAGAUACUAGCUGGGAUUGCAGCCCUGCUUUUUCUGCACUGUCCCCUUCCAGGUCGCUGAAGGGUGUGCUUCACAGUAACUGAAGCAAGAGGAAGACUGAGUCACUGGUUUCACAAAUGGGAAGUGUGACUGCAAGACAGAGAAGUUUGAAGAACCCGUGCAAGAGAGCUGGAAUAGGAACAGUGGAGUGGAGGUUUAGACUCUGGUCUGAACUCCUGGUUGUCUGUCCUGUAUUCAAAGCCUGUCUGUCAAGCCAGUUGGUCUGCGGAGAAUAAACAUCUCAGGCUCUGUGCCCACCGGCUCUGGGAUCAGGUGACCAUUAUGGAAGGCUACACCGGAGGCCUCUGCAUGCCAGAGUGACGCCGGGAACAGAGAGAGCCUGUGACAUGCUGACCUCAUGGAGUGGGCACCCAUGCAGCUGGCCCAGGGUGCAGAAUUUACCUCUGGAAUCAAUAAUGUAUAUAAGUGCUUAGCACCAUGUCUGCCAAAGUUCGCGAUGAUAGAGUGGAAAAACAAACUUUCUCCAACUGCACAUUCACAACAGAGACCGCUUCUGUCAUCCCCAGAUGUGCUUCCUCCCCAUCAGCAAGCAAGCCAGCAGUUCCGCAGAGGAUGCCAGUGGGCAUCCUCUAAUUCAGUUCAGUUCUACACUGUCUACCUGGAGACAGCAUCAGAGCCCUCAGGUCGAUGGCUAGGUCUACAAGACUGCUCCCAACUUCAGGUGCUCAUCCCAAAUCCAGGCUUCCAGCACUUCCAGCUCUUCUGACCAACCAGCUACCAACUGGGGUUCCCAUCCCCCUUCCUUAGGCUCAACUCAUUUAGUAGAGCGACUCGUAGAACUCAAGGAAUUUAAUCUACCAGCUUAUGAUGGAGGAUAUUUUAAAGAAUACAAGUAAAGAGAUGAAAAGCUGCAUAAGGUGGCGUCUAGAAGGGUCCCGGGCAGGCGCCUCCAGCGCUGUGGAGCUGCAGCGUGCCCCUUCCAGCUGUGCAAGCCUCCAGAAGCUCUCCGAACCUUGCCCUUCAGGUUUUCUAAGAGACUCAGUUGCACAGGCAUGAUGGCAGCCUGGACAACUGUGGAGUCAUGUGACUGGGCAAUAAGGGCAUGAUGUAAUGCUCAGAGACUGGGUGAGGGGCUGGCGUUGUGGCUCAGUGGAAGAGUGCUUGCCUAGCAUGUGUGAGGCACUGGGUCUGAUUCUCAGCACCACAUAUAAGCAAA